rnacentral:misc_RNA from 1 species
AAGUCGUAACAAGGUUUCCGUAGGUGAACCUGCGGAAGGAUUAUUACCACGUAUCCAAACGUUAAAACCCCCCCCCGUGAACAUUGAUUCCUGCUCUUGUAACCCGCGAAGCUUGCAAUCUCUGGUAAAUCAUAGCCCGGAAAGUAGUUUUGAUUCAGAGACCUCUGGCAAUUGGAACGGUUACAAUUCGAGCGGUAGUUCUAUAGGCCCUGUUUCCCCAAGCAGUCAGUGUCUGAAAGUGUCAGUGAUUGUGCAAGGAUAACGCUUCACGAUUGUUGUAGACCGCACCUCGCGGGCAGGAGCUAGGCCAAAGGGUCCCCAUGCCCCCUUACAACCCCACAGUUAAAUGUCAAGCUCAAUGUAAUACAUUAGGUAAAAAACCGAACAACUGUUCACAAUGGAUAUCUUGUUUCUC